rnacentral:rRNA from 1 species
GUGUCAGCCGCCGCGGUAACACGUAGGAGGCAAACGUUAUCCGGAUUUACUGGGCGUAAAGCGCGUGUAGGUGGUUCUGUAAGUAGGGCGUGAAAGCUCCCGGCUCAACUGGGAGAUGCCGUUCUAAACUGCAGAGCUAGAGGAUGGUAGAGGGAGGUGGAAUUCCAGGUGUAGCGGUGGAAUGCGCAGAUAUCUGGAGGAACACCAGUGGCGAAGGCGGCCUCCUGGACCAUUCCUGACACUCAGACGCGAAAGCUAGGGUAGCAAACGGGAUUAGAGACCCCGGUAGUCCUAGCCCUAAACGAUGUAGACUAGGCGUCGGUGGUUUAAUCACCAUCGGUGUCCAAGCAAACGCGAUAAGUCUACCGCCUGGGGACUACGGCCGCAAGGUUAAAACUCAAAUAAAUUGACGG